rnacentral:rRNA from 1 species
CCCUUAGAUGUUCUGGGCUGCACGCGCGCUACACUGAUGCAUCCAACAAGUUUUCUCCCUUGUUCGGUAGGACUGGGUAAUCUUUUGAGUAUGCAUCGUGAUGGGGAUAGAUUAUUGCAAUUAUUAAUCUUCAACGAGGAAUGCCUAGUAAACGCAAGUCAUCAGCUUGCAUUGAUUACGUCCCUGCCCUUUGUACACACCGCCCGUCGCUCCUACCGAUUGAAUGAUCCGAUGAAUACCAUGGAUUGAGAGUACGAAUGGGUUCGCUCAUUUCUGCUGCUCGAGAAGUGGAGUAAAUCUUAUCAUUUAGAGGAAGGAGAAGUCGUAACA